UAAUAGGGGUGCUCCCGAGAGCGGGAGCUGAGAUAAUACCCUUUGAACCUGAUCCGGGUAAUACCGGCGUAGUGAAAUUAA
rnacentral:ncRNA from 1 species